UAGCCAAUGAGGACAUCAGAUUAUAAAAGAACACCAUCUUUCGGGACUGAUUAACAUUGAUGAUACUUCUGCAAUUCUGAGGCUA
rnacentral:snoRNA from 14 species